UGCCCUUGGGGAAGGUGAGUUAGUUUGAAAUAGAAAUAAACAUGAUGUAUUAUAUGUUUGCUUUUAGCUUAAAGAUAUAUUCAAAGCUGUGAUCCAGGCGAUCAUUGGCGGAGUGGUUAGGACAGCCGUUGAGAAAAGACCAGUGAGGUUGGAGACAGAAGUCAAUGUCCCCACUGAUGAGAUCGCUGAAGAAUUCCAGGCAGGAGAUGGACUGAUCCCAGAGGCAGAAGCACGGAAACUGGAAAAAGCCAUUGAGGAUAUCCUCGUGGCCAUGGGCUUGGGAGAGGACAGCAAGGGAGCACCUGCAAUGAGGAAAUAGCUGUUUGGACCCGCAGCCUGAGAAUUUACAGCGUGGCCACCUGCUCACACCCAGGGUCUGGAUGUGAGAUAAGGACUGAAUAUUCAGAUUCCCGACUCAAGUACCGGCUUUAUUUCUCAGGAGCCCCUUUAAAAUAACCACUAAAGUUGAGCCUUAAAAAAGCUCACCCCACCACCUUUGACGCUAUAAUGGGUCCUUACUAUGUGCUCUCUCCCCUCCUGUUGGUUUGUGACCUGGGCUGGAGGGCAGCACCUUCCCCCAGCACUCUGUGGCUCCUCUCUUCCCCUCCCCCAAUUAUGAGACCUGUAACUAAUAAAUCUUUGACUUUA